GAUGACGCUGGCGGCGUGCCUAAUGCAUGCAAGUCGAACGAGGUCGCUCCUUCGGGGGCCAAACCUAGUGGCAGACGGCUGAGUAACGCGUGGGUGACCUGCCCCCGAGAACGGGAUAACUGUGGGAAACUACAGCUAAUACCGUAUACAUUCCCGUGCAUCAACGUGCGGGAAGAAAUGAUUUAUCGCUCGGGGAUGGGCCCGCGUCCUAUCAGGUAGUUGGUGCGGUAACGGCGUACCAAGCCUUAAACGGGUAUCUGGUGUGAGAGCAUGACCAGACAGAGGGGGACUGAGACACGGCCCCCACUCCUCCGGGAGGCAGCAGCAAGGAAUCGUGCACAAUGGGCGAAAGCCUGAUGCCGCGACGCCGCGUGAGGGAUGACGGCUUUCGAGUUGUAAACCUCUUUUCUCAGGGAAGAGAGAGGACAUCACCUGAGGAAUAAGUCACGGCUAACUACGUGCCAGCAGCCGCGGUAAUACGUAGGUGGCAAGCGUUUUCCGGAAUUACUGGGCGUAAAGGGUCCGUAGGCGGUUUGGUAAGUCUUCUGUGAAAGCUCCAGGCUCAACUUGGAGUGGUCGGGAGAAACUGCUGAACUAGAGACUGUCAGAGGCAGGUGGAAUUCCCGGUGUAGUGGUGAAAUACGUAGAUAUCGGGAGGAACACCAGUGGCGAAAGCGGCCUGCUGGGGCAGUUCUGACGCUAAGGGACUAAAGCGUGGGGAGCGAACCGGAUUAGAUACCCGGGUAGUCCACGCCCUAAACGAUGAAUGCUAGGUCUUCGGGGUGUUAAUUCCCUGUGGGCCGAAGGUAACCCAUUAAGCAUUUCGCCUGGGGACUACGCCACAAGGCUAAAACUCAAAGGAAUUGACGGGCCCCCGCACAAGCAGCGGAGCGUGUGGUUUAAUUCGAUGGUAAGCGAAGAA
rnacentral:rRNA from 1 species